CCCAUGGUCUAGUGGCCUAGGACACCACUCUUUCAAGGUGGGAACACGGGUUCGAACCCCGUUGGGGCCACCA
rnacentral:tRNA from 1 species